UACGUAGGGUGCAAGCGUUGUCCGGAAUUAUUGGGCGUAAAGAGCUCGUAGGCGGUUUGUCGCGUCUGCUGUGAAAACCUAAGGCUCAACCUUGGGCUUGCAGUGGGUACGGGCAGACUAGAGUGCGGUAGGGGUGACUGGAAUUCCUGGUGUAGCGGUGGAAUGCGCAGAUAUUAGGAAGAACACCUGUGGCGAAGGGCGGCUCGCUGGGCCGGUCCUGACGCUGAGACGGCGAAGGCGUGGGGAGCGAACGGG
rnacentral:rRNA from 1 species